CCUAAUCUUGUUUUCAGACAUCUUGUGGUCAGAGGCCACAAGGGCAUUCCAAUAGGUAGGUUCCAUUUUUAGUAUUGUAACCAAAGUCUUUAAUAAUAUAAGUUCUAUUGGUUCUGUUAGACUUAAAAUGAGUGACUUUAGAUUGUGUAGUCAGUCGGUGCUUUUGCAGACAAUGCAACGUUUGCACUUGUAAAAUCCCUUGGCCUCGUGUAAGAAUGAGAGUGCAGGUUUUAAGU